GCGCAGCAGUCGCGAAACCUCCGCAAUACACGAAAGUGUGACGGGGUUACCCAAAGUGUCCAAAUUUGGACUGUGGUAGGUGAGUAAUGUCCCCUACUAGAAAGGAGAGGGCAAGGCUGGUGCCAGCCGCCGCGGUAAAACCAGCUCUUCAAGUGGUCGGGAUAAUUAUUGGGCUUAAAAGUGUCCGUAGCCGGUUUAGUAAGUUCCUGGUAAAAUCGGGGUAGCUUAACUAUCUGUAUGCUAGGAAUACUGCUAUACUAGAGGGCGGGAGAGGUCUGAGGUACUACAGGGGUAGGGGUGAAAUCCUGUAAUCCUUGUAGGACCACCAGUGGCGAAGGCGUCAGACUGGAACGCGCCUGACGGUGAGGGACGAAAGCCAGGGGAGCGAACCGGAUUAGAUACCC
rnacentral:rRNA from 1 species